GGCCUCGUGGCCCAAUGGCAAGGCGUCUGACUACGAUAGAGAUCCAGACCGGGAAUUAAACCAAGAAUCCCGGACUGAAAUCUUCACGAUAAAUCAGGAGAUUCUGGGUUCGACCCCCAGCGAGGUCA